rnacentral:rRNA from 1 species
UGGUGGGUAGUUUGACUGGGGCGGUCUCCUCCUAAAGAGUAACGGAGGAGCACGAAGGUUGGCUAAUCCUGGUCGGACAUCAGGAGGUUAGUGCAAUGGCAUAAGCCAGCUUGACUGCGAGCGUGACGGCGCGAGCAGGUGCGAAAGCAGGUCAUAGUGAUCCGGUGGUUCUGAAUGGAAGGGCCAUCGCUCAACGGAUAAAAGGUACUCCGGGGAUAACAGGCUGAUACCGCCCAAGAGUUCAUAUCGACGGCGGUGUUUGGCACCUCGAUGUCGGCUCAUCACAUCCUGGGGCUGAAGUAGGUCCCAAGGGUAUGGCUGUUCGCCAUUUAAAGUGGUACGCGAGCUGGGUUUAGAACGUCGUGAGACAGUUCGGUCCCUAUCUGCCGUGGGCGCUGGAGAACUGAGGGGGGCUGCUCCUAGUACGAGAGGACCGGAGUGGACGCAUCACUGGUGUUCGGGUUGUCAUGCCAAUGGCACUGCCCGGUAGCUAAAUGCGGAAGAGAUAAGUGCUGAAAGCAUCUAAGCACGAAACUUGCCCCGAGAUGAGUUCUCCCUGAGACUUUAAGUCUCCUGAAGGAACGUUGAAGACGACGACGUUGAUAGGCCGGGUGU